rnacentral:rRNA from 1 species
UGCAGUCGAGCGGAAGGCCCUUCGGGGUACUCGAGCGGCGAACGGGUGAGUAACACGUGAGUAGCCUGCCCUAGGCUCUGGGAUAACUGUCGGAAACGAUGGCUAAUACCGGAUAUUCAGCUUUCACCGCAUGGUGGUUGUUGGAAAGUUUUUCGGCUUGGGAUGGGCUCGCGGCCUAUCAGCUUGUUGGUGGGGUGAUGGCCUACCAAGGCUUCGACGGGUAGCCGGCCUGAGAGGGUGACCGGCCACACUGGGACUGAGACACGGCCCAGACUCCUACGGGAGGCAGCAGUGGGGAAUAUUGGACAAUGGGCGGAAGCCUGAUCCAGCAACGCCGCGUGAGGGAUGACGGCCUUCGGGUUGUAAACCUCUUUCAGCACAGACGAAGCCGACCCUACGUGUGGGGUGGGUGACGGUAUGUGCAGAAGAAGCACCGGCCAACUACGUGCCAGCAGCCGCGGUAAUACGUAGGGUGCGAGCGUUGUCCGGAAUUAUUGGGCGUAAAGGGCUCGUAGGCGGUUUGUCGCGUCGGGAGUGAAAUCCACUGGCUUAACUGGUGGCUUGCUUUCGAUACGGGCAGACUGGAGGUAUGCAGGGGAGAACGGAAUUCCUGGUGUAGCGGUGAAAUGCGCAGAUAUCACGAGGAACACCGGUGGCGAAAGCGGUUCUCUGGGCAUGUCCUGACGCUG